AUGAACGCUGGCGGCGUGCCUAAUACAUGCCAGUCGCGCGAACAGACGAGGAGCUUGCUCCUCUGACGUUAGCGGCGGACGGGUGAGUAACACGUGGAUAACCUACCUAUAAGACUGGGAUAACUUCGGGAAACCGGAGCUAAUACCGGAUAAUAUAUUGAACCGCGUGGUUCAAUAGUGAAAGACGGUUUUGCUGUCACUUAUAGAUGGAUCCGCGCCGCAUUAGCUAGUUGGUAAGGUAACGGCUUACCAAGGCAACGAUGCGUAGCCGACCUGAGAGGGUGAUCGGCCACACUGGAACUGAGACACGGUCCAGACUCCUACGGGAGGCAGCAGUAGGGAAUCUUCCGCAAUGGGCGAAAGCUUGACGGAGCAACGCCGCGUGAGUGAUGAAGGUCUUCGGAUCGUAAAACUCUGUUAUUAGGGAAGAACAAAUGUGUAAGUAACUAUGCACGUCUUGACGGUACCUAAUCAGAAAGCCACGGCUAACUACGUG
rnacentral:rRNA from 1 species